CCCUUAGAUGUUCUGGGCCGCACACGUGCUACACUGAAGGAGGCAGCGUGUACUCCUGGAUCGAAAGAUUUGGGUAACCCGCGAAUCUCCUUCGUGCUAGGGAUUGAGGUUUGCAAUUAUCCUUCAUGAACGAGGAAUUCCCAGUAAGUGCAAGUCAUAAGCUUGCGCUGACUACGUCCCUGCCCUUUGUACACACCGCCCGUCGCUACUACCGAUUGAAUGAUUUAGUGAGGACUUCGGACUGGGACCGAUGCGGCUUUCGGGCUGCGUCGGUAUUCUGGAAAGAUGUUCAAACUGUAUCAUUUAGAGGAAGUAAAAGUCGUAACA
rnacentral:rRNA from 1 species